rnacentral:lncRNA from 1 species
UCGCUUCACUGGUGUGGAGUUAGUGGAUAAGCGGCAGAGGGGUGAGCUGGGAAAUGACUUCCCUUCCCUUCUGCCCUCCAAAAGUGCUCCUUAGUCUUCUGUGUGGUUCAAGUCAGUUGCCAUCCCGUAAGAAAGAGAAACCAGACACGAGAAGUUCAGCGUGUUACAAGCCGACCACAACACAGUGGUGGUGGCAAGGAAAAGCAAACCACCACUGUGAACAACGACAUCAUCCCUUCCCUGAGAAGGAUUGUAUGCCUUUCAUCAGAUGCUGUGAAUCCCGAACUCACUGAUUCCCAUAAGCAGAGGACCGACUUUAACACGUCCCUAGGGUGGGUUGACAUACGAACCACACAACCAAACAACUGAAGGCAGCUGAAGAAAAUGCCAAUGAAGUGGACGCGGUAAGACACGUGCGUGCCCACAGUCACAUGCAGAAGGACUGGCAUCACCAAAACCAAUAUACCCUAAAGUCAGAUCCG